GUGAGGAAUAUUGGGCAAUGGGCGAAAGCCUGACCCAGCCACGCCGCGUGAGUGAUGAAGGCCUUCGGGUUGUAAAGCUCUGUGGGGAGGGAAGAAAAAGCGGGAGAGUAACUGCUCUCGUGUUGACGGUACCUCCUUAGCAAGCACCGGCUAACUCUGUGCCAGCAGCCGCGGUAAUACAGAGGGUGCAAACGUUGCUCGGAAUUACUGGGCGUAAAGCGCGUGUAGGCUGACAUGCAAGUCGGGUGUGAAAUCCCAGGGCUCAACCUUGGAACUGCACUCGAAACUGCACGUCUUGAGUACUGGAGAGGGAAGCGGAAUUCCGGGUGUAGAGGUGAAAUUCGUAGAUAUCCGGAGGAACACCAGUGGCGAAGGCGGCUUCCUGGACUGAUACUGACACUGAGGUGCGAAAGCGUGGGGAGCAAACAGGAUUAGAAACCCCAGUAGUCC
rnacentral:rRNA from 1 species